rnacentral:rRNA from 1 species
GAUGAACGCUAGCUACAGGCUUAACACAUGCAAGUCGAGGGGAAACGACAUCGAAAGCUUGCUUUUGAUGGGCGUCGACCGGCGCACGGGUGAGUAACGCGUAUCCAACCUGCCCACCACUUGGGGAUAACCUUGCGAAAGUAAGACUAAUACCCAAUGACGCCUCUAGAAGACAUCUGAAAGAGAUUAAAGAUUUAUCGGUGAUGGAUGGGGAUGCGUCUGAUUAGCUUGUUGGCGGGGUAACGGCCCACCAAGGCGACGAUCAGUAGGGGUUCUGAGAGGAAGGUCCCCCACAUUGGAACUGAGACACGGUCCAAACUCCUACGGGAGGCAGCAGUGAGGAAUAUUGGUCAAUGGGCGAGAGCCUGAACCAGCCAAGUAGCGUGCAGGAUGAUGGCCCUAUGGGUUGUAAACUGCUUUUAUAAGGGAAUAAAGUGAGUCUCGUGAGACUUUUUGCAUGUACCUUAUGAAUAAGGACCGGCUAAUUCCGUGCCAGCCGCCGCCGUAA